ensembl:lincRNA Gm2694 predicted gene 2694
GGGGCAGCGGGGCUGGGCUCGGGCCGGGAGUCAGACGAGGGAGCGCGCGCGCGCUCCCGGACAGUUCUCCGCAGCCGCUCGCCCGAGCCUUCUACUUGGCCAACACAGCUGCCUCUACCACCUCGCGUGCCCGGUUCGUGGGCUUUCAGUUACCAAGCAUGUCCUGAAGAUGAAGAUACUCUCAGCCUAACGUCUCCAAGCAAAUAUUGAUUCAGCAGUAUCCCCAGGCAAAGCCACACCAUAUAUCAGUGAACAGAGAAACAACUGCCCUUCUCCGGGCCCCUGUCUGAGAAGCUGGAGCAUCAGCCCUGGAGCUCUCCGGAGCAGUUUCCUUGCUCACUGUCCCCAGCUGAACACAGGACCAGAGGGGAUACUGCCUGCUCAGGAAAGCCAAGAGGAGCCUGCUUCUCCUGAAAUGUAAAAAGUACACUGUGCAUAUGGAAAGCAUUAUUGUGUUUCACUGUGCAUCGCCAGAUUCUUCUUGCAAAACAUUGAAGCUUAGCUCAUAAUUUGGUGAUAAAAUAUUGAUUAUUUAUCCACAGCCGCAUGCAGAGGUCCAAAGCACGUAAACAGGAUACCCACCCUGCAUUAUCUUAUAUUUUAAGUCAAUAUGAAGAUGGACAUUCUACCCCUGAGACCAAUUUCGAUCAAAUACUUUUGUCAAUAAAAAGAUACUAAUGUC